rnacentral:rRNA from 1 species
GUGGGGAAUUUUGGACAAUGGGCGCAAGCCUGAUCCAGCAAUGCCGCGUGCAGGAAGAAGGCCUUCGGGUUGUAAACUGCUUUUGUACGGAACGAAACGGUCCUGGUUAAUACCUGGGGCUAAUGACGGUACCGUAAGAAUAAGCACCGGCUAACUACGUGCCAGCAGCCGCGGUAAUACGUAGGGUGCAAGCGUUAAUCGGAAUUACUGGGCGUAAAGCGUGCGCAGGCGGUUUUGUAAGACAGGCGUGAAAUCCCCGGGCUCAACCUGGGAAUUGCGCUUGUGACUGCAAGGCUGGAGUGCGGCAGAGGGGGAUGGAAUUCCGCGUGUAGCAGUGAAAUGCGUAGAUAUGCGGAGGAACACCGAUGGCGAAGGCAAUCCUCUGGGCCUGCACUGACGCUCAUGCACGAAAGCGUGGGGAGCAAACAGGAUUAGAUACCCCAGUAGUCC